GAAAGGUUGUGUGUAUAUAAUAUAUAUAUAUGUGUGUAUAUAUAUAUGUGUUUGUGUGUGUGCAUGCCCACAAGCAUAUGUAUAUGUAUGUAUGUAUGUAUGUGUGUGUGUAUAUAUAUGCCCAUAUACAUAUAGUAAUCCUUAGGGUAACCAGUAAAAAAAAAAGCAAAAAAGUCUAGCUAAAAAUCCAUGUGGACAACUAAAAUAUAAUUAACAUUUUUUGAGAUAUUUCCUCCAAGGGAAGGCAGAAAUGUAGGAACAGAAGAAUAAAGAACAGAUGAGAUAAGUAAAGAACAAUAACAAAAAAAUAGACCCAAACCCAAGCAUAUCAGUAGUUCAUUAAAAAUUGAUAGACUUAACACUCCAGUAAAAGGCGGAGACUUUCAGAAUGAAAGUGUGAGAGGAAAAAACAAACUUUUUUUUUUACUUCUACCUGCCAACACAGAUCAUGUCUAUGACCUCUGAUCAGCAAUCCUCACCAGCAACCAAUGCCCUAGCAGAUUCUUCAGUGAACACCAGCUGAAUGUCCUAUAACUCAAUUCAAUUCUGACAGUAUCUACCUGGAGAUAGCAUCAGAUCCCACAGGUUGAGGGCUCAGUCUCACAAGAUUGCUUCCCACUCCAAAUGCCAACUGCAAGUAAUAAGUUGUCACCUACACAGUCAUUCCUUGGUAGCUGCAGGGAUUGGUUCCAGAAUUUUCUGGAGAUACCAAAAUCUGCAGAUGUUCCCAUCCCUUUUAUAAAAUGGUGUAGUAUUUGCAUAUAAUUUAUGUACAUCCUUCUAUAUACUUUAUGGUAUCUCUAGAUUACUUAUAAUAUCUAAUACAAUGUAAAUAUUAUGUAAAUAGUUGUCAUACUGUAUUUUUAAAUGUUGUGUUUUUUUAUUGUUAUAUUGUUAUUUUCUUUAUUAGUUUUCUUUUCCCAAAUAUUUUCAACCCAUGGUAGCUUGAACCCGUGAAUGUGGAAACCAGGGAUGCAGAGAGCUGAUUGCACUUCUGAUCGAUAGGUUAUAAAUUGGGGAUUCUCUGACCCCCUUCUUUAAGUUCAAUUGAUUUGGUAGGACUGCUCACAAAAUCUGUGGAAACAUGUAUGUUUACUUGUUCAUUAUAGAGGAUAUUACAAAGAAUACAAAUAAACAGGCAGAUGGAUGGGUGCAUAGGGCAAAGUAUGUGGGAAAGGUCAUGGAGCUUCCGUGCCUUCUCCAAGUGCACCACCCUUCAGGAAUCUCCACAUGUUCAACUAUCUGGAAGUUCUCUGAACCCAGCACUUUUGGUUUUCUGUGGAAGCUUCAUUAAAUAAGUAUGCUUGAUUACCUCAUUGGCCAUUGGUGAUCAACUCAACCUUCAGCCUCUCUUUCCUCACUAGAGGUGGAGGGGUAAAAUUCCAACCUUCUAACCACAUGAUUUGUUCCCUUAGCAAUGAGUCCCCAUCCUGAGGCUAUUCAAAAGACUCCAGCCAUCAGCAAAUCAUUAGCAUACAAAAAGACACUUAUCAUUUUGGAGAUUCCAAUGGUUUGAGAAAUUACAUGCCAGAAAACAGGGAGGAAAACUAAAUAAGUAUUUCACAAUAUCACAGAAAGAAAAUAGGACUCAAUUAUAUGCUGUUUACAAAAGACUUCUUUUCAAUAUAAAUACACAAGUAGAAAAAUAAAGAGAUCUGGAAAGAAAUACCAUAUCAACAGUUAGCAUAAUAAGGCUGAAGUGGUUAUAUUAAUAUCAAAUAAAAUAGAUAAAAAACUAAAAUGCAUUGCCAGAGAUAAAGGGAGACCUUUUGUAGUGUUUCAUUGGGAGAAACAUAAAUGUAUAUGCUCUGAGUAACAGUUUCAAAUACAGGAAUAAAACAUUGACAGAAUGAAACAGGUAAGUAAAUAAUUUCACAAUCAUUGUUAGAAAUUUUAACACUUCUUUCUCUUGUCAACUGAUGGAAGAACUAAACAAAAAAUCAGCAAUGACAUAGAAAAUCUAAACAACAUUACAAACCACCUCAAUUGAUAUUGAUAGAACCCCAACAAUUGAAGCAUGUAAAUUCAAGUGCAAAUGGUAUGUUAACCAACAUAAUCCAUAUUCUAGAUCAUAAAAUAAGUCUCAACAAUAUUCAAAAGAUUGAAAUCAAACCAAGUAUGUUAUCUGACCACAAUAAAAUGGAUUAUAAACAAAUACAAAUAAAAUAACUAGAAAAAGCCUAAAUGCUUGAAAAUUAAACAAACAAUAUAUUUUUAAAAAUUAUUAGAAGGCCGGGCACGGUGGCUCAUGCCUGUAAUCCCAGCACUUUGGAAGGCCGAGGUGGGCGGAUCACAAGGUCAGGAGAUCGAGACCAUCCUGGCUAACAUGGUGAAACCCUGUCUCUAUUAAAAAUACAAAAAAUUAGCCAGGUGUUGUGGUGGGCACCUGUAGCCCCAGCUACUCAGGAGGCUGAGGCAGGAGAAUGGCAUGAACCCGGGAGGUGGAGCUUGCAGUGAGCUGAGAUUGCGCCGCUGCACUCCAGCCUGGGUGACGGAGUGAGACUCCUUCUCAAAAAAAAAAAAAAAAAAAAAAAAAAAAAAAAAAAUUAGAGCAAAGAAGAAAUCAAAAGAUAAAUUAUAAGAUAUUUUGAACUGAAAGAAAAUGAAUAUGUAACACAUCAAAUAUCUAUGAGGUACUUAGGGAAAGAUGGACAGCUUCAAAUGCCUAUAAUGGAAAAGGAGGAAGGUAUCAAACCAGUGAUAUAAAUUAUAAGCCUAGAAACUAGUAAAAUGAGAAUAAAUUUAACCCAAACCUAACAGAAAGUAGGAAAUAACAAAAAUUAGAGCAUGACUCAAUAAAAGAGAAUACAAAAAAAUAGAGAAAAUCAGUAAAACCAAAGUUGAUUCUUCAAAAAAAGAGAAAAGACACAAAUUAUCAAUGUUAGAAAUGAGCAAUAAGGCAUCACUACAGAACCCACAGAAACUAAAAAAGAUAAUAAGAAAAUAUUAUAAACAAUUUCAUGCCAAUAAAAUUGACAACCUAGGUGAAUUUAGCAAAGUCCUUCAAAAACACAGAUUACCAAAAUUGACCAAAGAAGAAAUAGAAAGCUUGAACAGCAAUAUAUCAAUGAAGAAAUUGAAUUUAUAAUCUAAAAUCUUCCCACAAAGAAAAACCUAAGUGUAGAUUGCUUUACUGACGAAUUCUUUAAAACACUUAAGGAAGUGAUAAUAUCAGUUCUACACAAACACUUUCAGAAAAUAGAGGAGGGAACACUUUCCAAGGUAUAUUAUGAAGCUAAUGUUAUUCUGAUUUGAAAACCAAAGAGAUCACAAGAGAACAUCAGACCAAUACUCCUCAUAAACACAAACAUGAAAGAGUUCUCAAAAAUAUUACCAAAUUGAAUCAAAUAAUAUAUAAAAAUGAUAAGACAUUGUAAUCAAGUGGUUUUAUCCUGGGAAUGCAAGAUUGAUUUAACAUCUAAAAAUGAAUUUGUCUAAUUCACACUAUUAAUAGAAUAAAGGAGAAAACCCAUAUGAUUAUUUCAAUAAAGGCAGAAAAACGUGACAUAUUUAUCACUCUUUUGAGAUGAAAAUCUUUGGGAAACUAGAAAUAUAAGGGACUUUCUUCAACCUAAGAAUGUGUAUUAAAAACCUACAGCUGUCAAUGCUUUCUAUCUACAAUCAAGAACAAGUUCAGGAUAUCUGCACUUACCAUUUCUAUUUAACAUUGUACUGAAUGUCCUAGCCAGGAUAAUUAGAUAAGAAAAAGAAAUAAAAGGUAUAAAUAUUGGAAAAAUAGAAUUAAAACUCAGGAUGGGAAUGCCACAUAGUACAGCCACUUUGAAAAAUAGCAUGGCAGUCUUGUCAAGUUAAACAUAGACUUACCACAUGACCUUGCAACUUCACUCCUAGGUAUUUACUCAAGAGAAAUGUCAACAUACCUCCACACAAAGAUGUGUAUAUGAAGAUUAAAGCAGUUUUAUUCAUAAGAGCCAAACACUGGAAAUAAUUUAAAUGCUCACUCAUUGAUAUACAAAUGAACAAUUAUAGCAUAUUCAUACUGAGGAAUACCACUCAGCAGUAAAAAGGAACAAAAUAUUAGUACAUAAGAGAAUAUAAAUGAAUUUCAAGGACAUUGAGUGAAAGAAGUCAAACACGAAAGAACAAAGACUACAUACUGUAUGAUUUUACUGCAGUGACAGAAAUCAGAUCAGUGGUUGCUUGAGGGUCAGAAGAAGGGAUCAACUAAAAAGGAGCACAAGGAAGCUUUUAGAAUAAGAGAAAUAUUACGUAUCUUUUCUUUCCAUGCCAUGAAGAGCUGGAUAUCAUAUAUCUUAAUAGUGGUGGUUACAUGGUUACAUAUAAUUAUCAAAAUUUAUCAAACUGUACACCUAAAAUGGAUGAUUUUUUGCAUGUAAUACCUUAAUUUUUUAAAAAAGAUGAUUUUUUUAAGUGAUUGGGUUAAAAGUUGGCCACAACAAACCUGGUUUGACUUAGCACUUAAGUCCAUGGGAAAUUUAUUUACCCUCUCAAGGCUCAGUUUCUACUUUUAUAAAACAGAGAUGAGUAUCUCUCUUACAAAAUUGUGGUGAUGAGUAAACAGGAUAAUUGAUGCACCUGCCACCAAAUCGGUGCUCAAUACACAUAAACCAUGAAGAUAAAAGGAGGCUGGCAGGACAGGUAGAAUGCACAUUCCAGAGAGAGCAAACAACACAUGCAGAGGCAUAAAGGUGAAUGAGCAGGAUCAACUGUUCAGUCUGGUGGGAGUGUAGGGAGAGGGAAAAUGUAGGAAAUGAGAACCAGGAUGCUGAUCCUCGAAGGCCCCUGCCUACCACACUAAUGAGUUUGGAUUUUAUUUUGAAGUCCCUGGGAGUUAUUAAAGGGGCAGUGCAAUGUAGUGUUUAAUUAUAUUUUGGAGCCAGAUUGGAUUUGAAUUUUGGUUCUCUCAUUUAUUAACUGUGAAACUUUGGAAAGUUCUUCACGUUCUCAGUAGUUUUCUCAACUGUAAAAACGAAAUCAUCUCACUUGUUAUGACGAUUAAAUGAGUGCUACGUUUUCCACAUUCUCUGGCACAUAACAAUCAAUGUGAUUAAACUUGCAUUUUAGGGUGUGGACAGUGGUUCGUAGGCAACAGGCAGCAAGGAAAUCCAUGAGAAAAGAGUUUCACUCUCUAAGUGAAAACUGAAGGUGACCCAAGCUAAGGCAAUGAUCAUAAGGACAGGAAAGGAGACAGGUUGGGAAAAUAUAUAGGAGGUGGAGUCAACACAGCUCAGGACAAUGGGGUGGUCAUGAGGGGAAGAAAGGAAUCAAAGGUAACACUCACCGAGGUUUCUGGUCUUGGAGGUAGGGCCAUUUAUCUAGAUUUAGGGGCCUUGCACAGUGACUCACAACUGCAAUCCCAGUACCCUGGGAGGCUGUGCCAGGAGAAUUGCUUGAGGCCAAGAGCUCAAGACCAGCCUGGACAACAUGGCUAGACCCUCAUCUCUACCAAAAAUUACACACACACACACACACACACACACACACACACACACACGGGAAACACAAGACCACCAUUUCUCACAUCAACUUCUCACUGAAUGAGGUUAUUAUAUCUGCUCAUGACUAAAACACAUUUCCCCACCCUAUCCCCAAGGUGCCCCCAACAAAUGCACGCUACAUUGAAUUGCUGAUCAGAGAUUAGAGGGGUAUGAGCAGGUCUGGAAGGAAUGCAGGUUUCUAGCUGGACACUAAGAAAAGGAAAAGUGAUCACAUUUAAGAUGGAAAAUGAACAGCUGCCUUCCCCAGGAAAGGAAGUUUGUAUCAUCUCACUGUAUCUCCUCUGUGUUUCCCUUUGUGACUCCAAAAAAAUACUGACAAACACUCUAAAUGAAAAACAUCCCUAGAAAAAAAAAAAGAGAAUCUUACAGAAUCUUACUACAAAAUGAAACCUACGAGUCUGCCCUACUUAGAAGACAAGGAAACUGUAGAGGCUGCUAGCUCCUGUAGCCAAGUGUGGCUGCACAGAGCAUCACAGCAAACAUGUCACAUUCAAAUGCACUGUGGCUUCCUGUAAAAGAAUUGACUCAUAUAUAUCAUAGAAACGUCUAAUAGAUAAUGUCUAUUACAUUAUAAUUUUUUUUGCUUACUUGGCUAAAUUUACUGAAAUACAUAUUUACUUUUUCUACAUGUAUUGCUUACCUUGUAAACAAUUUGGAAUGUCAUUUUCUCCCUAAUUUGUGUUUUAUGUCUUGUAUCAAUUUUACUGUGUUAAAUCAAGUUCAGCCUAAAGCUGCCUCCUUACGUAUUUUAAGUUCAGCCUAAAGGUUUCUCUGUACAUCGUGAACUAUAACAAGUGGAGGUGUAAACCGAUGGUAGCCCACACUUGUGCCAAUUGCUGAGUUUUGGCCAAUCAAAUGUAGCCAACUGUUUGAACCAUGUUCAAAUAAAGCAAACCCUGAGCUGUAACAAAUCCGCUGCCUCUGUCCCUCACUUCCUCUUUCUGUUCAUAAACAUUCUUCCACGACGUGCUGUGCUGGAAUCCCUGAGCCUGCUCUGGCCUGGGAGGCUGCCUGAUUUGUGAGUCCUUCAUUGCUUCAUUAAAUUCUUUUACAUUUAAUCCGGUUGAAGUUUUCCUUUAAUGAACUGAUUUUUUAAAAAGUACCUAAGGUUAGCUUUAAAAAAAAAAAUCUGUCCUUAAAAAUUGGGUUGGCCAGGCGCAGAAGUGCAGUGGCUCAUGCUUGUAAUCCCAGCACUUUGGGAGGCUGAGGUGGAAGGAUCGCUUGAGUCCAGAAGUUCAAGACCAGCUUGGUCAACACAGUGACACCUGGUCUCUUAAAAAUAAAAGAGAGAGAGAGAGAGAAAUAAUUGGGUUGUGACUUAUACUCUAUACAAUGUAUAUAACAAGACAUACAAUAUAUCUAGUUAGAUAGAGAGCCAUAGUUCCAAUGAGCUAAUAAUACACAUGGAUUGUGGUAAGCUAUGAGUGGCAUAUAUAGAGACCAAUAGGAAAUGAGUUAAUUCUGAUUGCAGAUAUCUAAGCAGGCGAACAAGGCAUUUGACAUAUGGAUCAAUUUUCCACUGGCAGCAAUGAGGGAGGUUUUUGCAAUGAACGGUUAUAGACAUGGAGGUGGGAAAAGUUAAGCCAUGUACAAGUGUAUUCAUUGGCUAGGGCUGUUGUAACAAAGUACCAGAGACUGGGAAGCUUAGACAACAGGUAUUUCUUUCAUUUUUGGAUGCUAGGAAUCUAAGAUCAAGGUGUCAGCAGGAGGAUUCGUCCCUUCUGAGGGCUGCAAGGGACAAUCUGUUCCAUGCCUCUCUCCCAGCUCUGGUGGUUUGGUGGCAAUCUCUGGCGUUACUUGGCUUGUGGGAGCAUCAACCCUCCAGCUCUGGCGGUUUGGUGGCAAUCUCUGGCGUUCCUGGGCUUGUGGGAGCAUCACCCCAAUCUCCGCCCUCAUCUUCACCUGAUGUUCUCCCUGUGUUUCUUGACGGUGUCUUCUCCAUGUGUGUGUGUGUCUUUGUGUCCAAAUUUUCCCUAUUUAUAAGGACCAAAGUCAUAUUGGGUUAGGUGUCCAUCCUACUGACCUCAUCUCAACUAAUUAUGUCUGCAACAACCUGGCUUUCAAAUAAGGUCACAUUUUGGAGUACUGGGAGUUAGAACUUUAACAUGUACGUUAUUUUUAAGGCCAGGGUGAGAAGGACAUGAUUUAACCUUUAACAACCAGUAUGGGCCAGGUGCUGUGGCUCACGCCUAUAAUUCCAGCACUUUGGGAGGCCGAGGCAGGUGGAUCACCUGAGGUCAGGAGUUUGAGACCAGCCUGGCCAACAUGGUGAAACUCCGUCUCUACUAAAAAUAUAAAAAUUAGCUGGGCUUGGUGGUGUGUGCCUGUAUGUAGCCCCAGCUACUCGGGAGGCUGAGGGAGGAGAAUCGCUUGAACCCAGGAGGUGGAGGUUGCAGUGAGCCAAGAUUGCACUAUUGCACUCCAGCCUGGGCGACAGAGCAAGACUCUGUCUCAAAAAACGACAACAACAACGACAACAACAACCAGUAUGUAAGGCAUAUAGUGUGGCUGACAUGUAGGGCCUGUAGUUUGGAGGGUACGGGAAAGUGAGACCAGAAAGAGACCGUGGCAAGCUUUUUAGUAAAAUACUAAUAAUGGCAAACACUGGUUGACCAGUUGUUUUAUCCCAGGUACUGUUCUCAGCACCUCAUGGAUUUGAUUAUUUAAUCCUCAUCAUUUUAUAGAUGUGGGAAUGGGGGCACAAGGAGCAUACUUGGCUCAACUUUGAAACUUUCUUGAAAUUCCUCCAAAAGGGAUGUACUUUUUAAAAAAAUAAAAGAAAGAAAGUAAACAAGGAAAUGAUGAAGAAAAGUCACACUUUCUGUUGGAAGAAGGCUGCUUUAAUCAGGUUUGUGGAAGCCAAAUCAAUGUGACUCCGCCUUCACCAGCCUGAAUUGUUUUUUUCUCUCCUAAAAGUCGACUGGUCAGGAAGCUCUGAGUCAGGACUGAGUCAUAGUUGUGGUAUGUUCUCCAACUAGAAAACAAACUUUGUUUUUAAAACCACUAAAGAAAUGUUUGAAUAAAUAAAUGUGCUUCUGUAGCCAUCAUCUCUGAUUCAUGAGUUUUUUGAAUGGUUCACUACCAAUGUUCCUCUGAUUGCCGCAGAGUUUGGACAGUGGAUAUUCUCCACACUUAAAGGUGGUCUUGUCCAGUCUUUCCACCGUCCGUCUUGCUACUGCUUUUUAAAUGCCUUCUCAAAAGCUAAUCAAAAAUUUAUGAAUAAUUCCAAGCUGGGCAAACCGGUUCAACUGGCCUAAGUGCAAGAGGAAAAAGGAAAAGAAUUCAAGUGAGAAAUUAUGCUGGUGUGGAUUAUUAAGAGCUAUGGUUUUGUACAAAUACUGCUUCCAGUCUUAGUGGGUCUCUCCUAAAAACCCCAGAGUCCAACCAAACCUAGGAACAGAGAAAAUCUAGAGAAGGUAGAGAGAGAGUUGAAAGUCAUUUCUUUUAAGGUGUUUUACUUUAUGUUUCUAUUUUCCCACACAAGGAACAUUACCCAGAUUUGUGAAUGAUAAUAACACGUUUAUUUCUAUUUGUUAUUUUUCCCUUAAAACAACAUAUAUAUUAUCUUACAGUUUCAAUCGGUCAGGAAUCCAGGCAUAUCUUAGCAGGAUCCUCUGCUCAGGGUGUCACAAAGCUGUAGUCAAUGUGUUGGCCAGGUGGCAGUUCUCAUCUGGAGGAUCAACUGGGGAUGAAUCUGCUUCAUUCAGCUUGUUAAUAGAAUUCAUUUCCUUGCAGCUGUAGAACAUACAGUGCUGUGCUUCUUCAAGGCCAGCAGGAGGGUUGACCCCAGGGAAAUCUUCAGCCCUCUUCUUUUUUUUUUUGAGACAGAGUCUCACUCUUGUUGCCCAGGCUUGAGUGCAAUAGUGCAAUCUUGGCUCACUGUAACCUCUGCCUCCCAGGUUCAAGCAAUUCUCCUGCCUCAGCCUCCCAAGUAGCUGGGAUUACAGGCGUGUGCCACCAUGCCUGGUUAAUUUUUGUAUUUUUAGUAGAGACAGGGUUUCACCAUGUUGGCCAGGCUGGACUCGAACUCCUGACCUCUGGUGAUCCCCCUGCCUCAGCCUCCCAAAGUGCUGGGACUACAGGCUUGAGCCACCGUGCCCAGUUCUCCUCUUCCAAAGGACUUCCAAUGAUUAAGUCAGGCCUGCUCAGGAUAUUCUUUUGGUUAAUUUAAAGUCACCUGGAACCUUAUCCACAGUGAAGAAUGAAUGACUUGCAAGGUUUACCUAUUACUUUCUUCACUAGCUUUAUUUGCAUCUGGGCCUUAUGCCAAAGGGAUGAAAUGCAAAGGGCAGAAUUGCAUUCAUCAGUGAUUCUGAUGGAACAUCUGCAAAAGUCCUUCAUCCUUGCUAUAUAACCUGAGGAUAAUACUAGGGGACAGAGAUCAUGGGGACCAUUUUAGAAUUCUUCAUGCCGUAAUCACUUUCUGGUAAUAUCCUAUUUAUGGUUGUACUUGGAAGGUGCUACAGUUAUCACCCUAUUUUCUGAAUAAGGAAUAAUGACGCUUUUAAAUAGAAAGAUUGAGGCCGGGCACGGUGGCUAAUGCCUGUAAUCCCAGCACUUUGGGAGGCCUAAGCGGGCAGAUCACUUGAUGUCAGGAGUUCAAGACCAGCCUGGCCAACAUGGCAAAACCCCAUCUCUACUAAAAAUACUAGCCAGAUGUGGUGGUGGAUACCUGUAAUCCCAGCUACUCAGGAGGCUGAGGCAGGAGUGUCACUUGAACCCAGAAGGCGGAGGUUGCAGUGAGCUGAGAUGGCGCUGCUGCACUCCAGCCUGAGAAACAGAGCGAGACUCCAUCUCAAAAAAAUUAAAAUAAAUAAAUAAAUAAUAAAUAAAAAGGUUGAAUAUCCUCUCCUAAAUGUAGACUGGGCCAUCAGAAAAUACACUUUCCAUAAUCAUGGAGUCAUAGAAGAGCAUGUUAGACACAAAUUUUUUUCUAAUUUUUUAAAUUUUUUUGAGACAGAGUCUCACCUCAGGCCUCACCCAGGCUGGGGUGCAGCAGUGGCGUGAUCUCAGCUAACUGCAACCUCCGCCUUCCAGGUUUAAGUGAUUCUCCUGCUUCAGCCUCCCGAGUAGCUGGGAUUACAGGCACACACCACCACAUCAGGCUAAUUUUUGUAUUUUUAGUAGAAAUGGGUUUUCACCAUGUUAGCCAGGCUGAUGGACGCUACCUUAUAAUCAGCUGGUCCAUCCCCCUGUGUUUUAGAGACAGAAACCAAGGAAACAGCAGUGACUUGCCAAGGUCACAGAACUUGUUCUUCUGAAUUAGAUUCUAUAUUCAAUGCAUUGAAAGUUUGUGAUCAAAAGUCAGAGUGAAGUAGGGAUUUGCAAAUAAUAAAAACUGAGGUGCAAGAGCUUUUUUUAAAAUAACGCUUUUUUUUUUAAAGAGACAGGGUCUCACUCUGUUGCCCAGGCUAGAGUGCAGUGGCACGAUCACAGCUUACUGCAGCCUCCAAUUCCUGGCCACAAGUGAUCCUCCAGUCUCAGCCUCCUCAGCAUGUACCAUCAUGCCUGGCUAAUUUUUAUUUUAUUUUAUUUUUGAGAUAGGGUCUUGCUCUGUGUCUCAGGCUGGAGUGCAGUGGUGUGAUCUUGGCUCACUGCAGCCUUGACCUUCCCGGCUCGAGUGAUCCUCCCACCUCAGCCUCCCAAGUAGCUGGGACUAGAGGCAUGCACCACUAUGCCAAGCUGAUUUUUGUAUUAUUAUUUUUUUUAGAGGUGGGGGUCUCACUAUGUUGCCCAGGCUGGUCUUGAGCUCCUGGGCUCAAACAGUCCACCUGCCUCAGCCUCCCAAAGUGCUGGGACUACAGGCAUGAGCCACUGUGCCCCACCUCACGUUUUAUUUUUAGUUUUUUGUAGAGACGGGGUUUUGUUGCUCAGUCUGGUCUGGAACUCCUGGCCAGCCUCAAGCAAUCCUCCCACCUCAGCCUCCCAAAGCACUGGGAAUACAGGCAUAAACCACUGCUUAUGGUCAAAAAUAACACUUUCAUGUAUAAUUUUCUCAUUAGAAAUUUGUCAAAUCACACCUAGAACUGAGAACACCACCGAGCCUCUUCAGGGACUUAGAAAUCAGGGAAACCCCUGAUGUGUGUGAAUAUACAUUGGCCUGCGUCCUGGCCGGGGAAGGCAAGUUUAAGUUUUCAGAGGAUUUGUAGGUUGGAUGUCAUGAUUGCCUUCCUCAGGGCUGUCAUUUCUUAAUGUCUUUUAUAUUCUUCUUCUCAUCUCCCUUCUGCACUGAGUCAGGGCCUCUCUCAUGGAGCAACAGUCUUCCCACAGAGAGUAAAGUCAUCACAGUGGAGGCUUGCUCAACCUUUACAAAUUCUAAAACCACAGGCCAACAUUAACUUCCUCCAUUUCUCACCGGAAAUCAACAUGGCCACCACCAUCGUGCCUCAUCCUGCUCCUCUUGGACUGUAAAUCAUGGCUUGUUCAUUGUAAGCCGUCAAUUGCAUGUUGUUUCAGUUGUCUGCCAACUCAAUUCUAUCAGUGUGUUUUGACUGAUAGAAUUUUGUAAACUCCCUUUUACAUUUAUUUGUAUUUGACGAGAUGGUUUGAUUUUGUUGAGCUGUCUUCCUCUUUGUUAUCCCUCCUAUCACAGUUCUUGGAGCUCACUACCCCUUUUCAGAUUGUCAUGGGCAGGCAAAUUGCUGGUCCCCUCGCCUUGCAAGGUCCUUUGCAUAACCACACAGUUUUCACUUGAAAAGACAAUAGAGUUGCCAGAUAAAAUACAGGCCCCUGCAAGAUCUGGAACACACUCUGCACGAUGCCAUGCAGUAUUUGGGAUAUACUUAUGCCAAAACUUGUUCAUUAUUUAUGUGAAAUUCAAGUUUAAUUUGAAUUAAAUAUUGGCACCCGUAUUUUUAUUUGUUAAAUUUUUAUUUGUUAAAUAUUUGUUAAACUUUUAUUUGAUAUACUUAUGCCAAAACUUGUUCAUUAUUUAUGUGAAAUUCAAGUUUAAUUUGAAUUAAAUAUUGGCACCUGUAUUUUUAUUUGUUAAAUCUUGCCACCCUCAAGUACAAACGCCUCUGUACCUCAGAGGCAUAAGAAUGUGCAAAUGGGAUUCAUGCAACUCACAACCUAGACCUCCCUCUCUUUUCUAUCUUCAAAAACCAAUGUUCUUUUACUGUUAAGAACCUUGGGAGAGAGGGAAAUCACAAGGUAGUCUUAAGCAGAUUACUACACUCUUGUAGUGAUAACAUUUAAUUAAAAAAUUGAUUUAUUUUUCUUCUGACUUAAAAGCAAAAUGAAACAAAACAAAACAAAACCCCAAACCACAAACUCAGGCCUCCUCUCUGGGCUUCCCUGCACACAGGCUGAUGUUAACUGCACUGAGCACCCUGGGAACAUCAGUCCAACUGCAGGCACUGGAAUCGCUGUAGACCAUGACGGACAAUGGCUCCCAUACACACAGUAUUCCAGUCUUGGGAGUGAAAAUGGCCCCGUGCAGCCUCACGGCCCAUGGGUUUAGGCUGAACUUUGAGACCAUUUCUUUUUAUUCACACCUGGGAUGGCCUAGCCCAACUGAAACCAAGCAACCUGGACGCCCUAUCAGUGGCUGUGAAAUCAUAGGCCAAAUUCCUCUGUGGCAAAGACUUCCUGUAAAAAAUACCGUUAAGGCCUAGCCAGGUCCGAAAUGAAUAAAUGAAUAAUCAUUGAUUAUUGAUCAAUGCUUUUUAAUCAGUGCCCUCUGUGAAAAGGAACUAUCCCUCCCCACAAAACUCUUUUAUGAAUAGAACCAGAAUGGUUGAAGGGUGGUUUCAUUCUUUUUUUUAAGAGAUGGGGUCUUGCUGUGUUGCCCAGGCUAGUCUUAAACUCCUGGCCUCACGUGAUCCUCCUGCCUCAGCCUCGGCCACUGAGCCUGGCUCAUUCACUUUUUACCUACUUUUGGAACCUCAAAUGGUAACUAACUUACCAAGUGAUUGGCAUAGCUACCAAGGUGAAAUGUUAAAUUUAAUGCAGUGUCACAUCGUUCUUCCAGAUUCGUGGUGAGUAGGAUUAUCCAACAAUCCCUCUCAUGUAUUUCUUUCUUUUUUUUUUUUUUUUUUGAGAUGGAGUCUCGCUCUGUUGCCCAGGCUGGAGUGCAGUGGCACGAUCUCGGCUCACUGCAAGCUCCGCCUCCUGGGUUCACACCAUUCUCCUGCCUCAGCCUCCCGAGUAGCUGGGACUACAGGCACCCGCCACCACGCCCGGCUAAUUUUUUGUAUUUUUCAUAGAGACGGGAUUUCACCGUGUUAGCCAGGAUGGUCUCGAUCUCCUGACCUCGUGAUCCACCCACCUCGGCCUCCCAAAGUACUGAGAUUACAGGCGUGAGCCACCGUGCCUGGCCCCUCUCAAGUAUUUCUAACCAAAAUGAUCAACCUUCUGUACCCUGAACUUACAGAUUCUGUUCUAAAGUCAGUGUGAGAAUUAUUCCAUCUAGGUUAGUACAUUUGUCUCUAGAAAAACGACCCAUGGGGAGACAGUGUUCCCCAUGCCAUUCCUUGCCUUUUGGGCCCACCACAAAUCCUGAUAUUUAAGGCCCUUAAGUUAAAUAAUUCUGCCAUGAAGCAUGAAAUGUAAGUACAGCUUAAAUAAUCAUAAAAGAGAGACUAUAUGUCCAAGCAGGCAGCAUGCACCUUGAUGGGUGAUGAGUACGUUAAGAUAAAUCAUGCCCAGAUUGCAAGGUGUGGGAGGCGUAGUGCACCAUCCAGAUUGCCCGGCAAAUCUGAGGGACUCUGGGAGUGCUGCUGGCUGACAGCCUUCAGCUGUCUGUCCUCUCCAGAAAUUGCUCUUGGCUGCAGAGAUCCUCUUGCUUAAGGUCAUGUCCUCUUGUGAGGGCAGUCGGUAUCCGAUGACUGUUCAUUGCAGAGGUAUAAGGGCUCGGACCCCGUGCCCCAACUCAUGACAACUCUGAAGGCCCAUGGGGUCAGCUGAGGUCACCCUUUCUCCUGGGGUGUUAAUCCCAAGAGCACUCUAGCAGGCGUCCUGCAUGCUAACUUCCAUCUCAGAGCCUGUUUCCCCAGGAAGCAACCUGUAACUGGUGAUAUCAAGGAUAUUUCAACAUGGCCUGCUGCAGUGGCUCACACCUGCAAUUCCAACACUUUGGGAGGCUGAGGCAGGAGGAGGGCUUGAGCCCAGGAGUUUGAGACCAGCCUGGGCAACAUAGGGAGACCCUGCCUCUGCAGAUAAUUUUAAAAACUUAAUUUCAAAAGUAAUAUUCCAAGAAAGCAGAUGCUAAGAUGGGAUUCUGCAGCUGAGUCACCUGUGUUUCUGGUUGGCAAUGAGGACUUCAUAACCGCUGGUAGAUGAGGCACAGCCUAGCCCUAGGAAAAGGCAGCAGUGCAAUUGUUAAAACUUCUGCCAGUAGUGAAUUUGGAUGGCAAAUGAGUGGAGGGGAAUACAGUAGCCAUCGAAAUGUAUUAGACAUUUGAGAAACGUGGGGGGAAUGAAGGACAGUGGAAUUGGAUGACUGUUGCAGGGGAACUGCCGCUUCGAAAAAUGAAAGGCUGGCAGUGAAUGCACAACUCACCAGCUAGGUAUGAAAACCAGAGACCUUCUUGGCAACGUAUAAGGGAAUCCCCAUCUCCAGUCACCAGAGAGCAGAAAAAGCUGAGGAUCAGGCCCAGUUUUUAAUCAUAAGAGUAGCAGAAUUCUAGAAAGUGUUAAACUCUCAUCCUGGGUAGGUCUGCUUUGCCCAGGUCGGGGCUCUGAUGAGCAGAAAGUGGAACCUGGAGAUAUGAGAUUGAAACACUUGUGUCCAUGUGCUUGAAAAUCCUGAUUCCCCAGAACCCUUUGAGCCUAGGGAAUGGCUCCCUCCUCCAUACUAAGGGCUAGCACCCACCCCAUUUAUUUGAACACAGUGCAGCGGCCAUGUCCCUGCAAGACAGCAGGCACCCUCUUCAGGGUCUGUCCUUACCUGCCCUCUUGACCAUUAGGCCAAUAACUAUAUUCUGUAACCCACCUGGGGAGAUGCGGGACCUGUGAAGGGAGAAAAAGAGCGAUACACUGAAGGGGCUGCAGGGCCAAGCUUACCUCAGUGGGCAGGAUCCAGCAGAGCGCAGACAGGGCUGGGCUCUGAGAGUGCAGAAUCAGGGAGUGGGGUUAGGGUGGGAGGUUGGGGGUGGUACUGACUGUUUUUUCUUACUUUCUGUACUCUUAAUGCUCUGGCAUUUGGGGCCUUCAUCCUGGAGAGGCUCCCAGGGCCAGCUAAUUCCUAGGGAUAGCAAGCGACAUCCCUGUGAGCAUGCAUUUCAUAUACAAACCAGCCAAUCCAGAGCCACACCCUCAGCCAUCUCUUUUAUCAGACUCUCACACACCAGCCUGGCAUGGUGGUGCAUGCCUGCAGUCCCAGGUACUUGGGAGGCGGAGGCAGGAGGAUCCCUUGAGCCCAGGAGUUUGAGGCUGCCAUGUGCUCUGAUUGUGCCUGUGGUUAGCCACUGCACUCCAGCUUGGGCAACAUAGUGAGACCCUGCCUCAAAAAAAAACCAAAAAACAGAAAAACUCUCACACACCAAGCUAAUAUUCCCCUUGCCCUAAAUUGCCCCAGGGCAGUCACUGGGCAAAUGGGGAUCACCCCGUAGCCGUAGCCCAGAGCCAGUUGAAAUUAUUCAAACUAUCCAACACUAUACUUACUUUGCAUCCUUACCCUGCCUCACCCAUGCUUUCCUGAGAAAACCCCAAGAAAGGCUCUGGGCCUGCCCUCCCUCUUCUUAUCACUCCUGAGCAUCCCUGGUCCUUCCCUAUUGGCCCUGCAUGGUGUGCUGUGCCUCGUGUUUCAGGGAUGUGUGAGUAUGAACUUCCUUCCUGACAAUCAUUUCCAUGUCUGCUGUCCCACCGUACCUGAAUAAAACAAUUCCUUGGUACAUUUUUAACACAGGGUGGAGCGCAGAGCUGGGCAAGGGAAAUUUGAUAGAUAUGGGAGCAUUCUCCAAGGAUACAAGAUUUAAUACUCUGGCAAGGAUCCCAGGAGGAAGAACUCCUGUGUUGCUAGUGGGGCUUCUGGGAGGCCGGAGAAAGCAAUGAUUCGUGCUAAACCAAGUCAGUGUGCCAGAACUAUUGUGGCAAGCGCUGGAAGAAAAGAUCACAAAGGCCAGAGAAGUGGGUAUACUAGAGUAUACUCGCACUAUGUGAGGCUGGAAAAUUCACCAGAUAGUCUGCAGGAGAGUCUGAAGUACAUGCCACUUCCUGAAGUGAUCAGGAAUGAACUGGGGAGAGGGACACCAGCAUUGUUGAAAAGUUUGGCGAGUCUCACUGGUUCAGCUGUUCUCAAUAGACCAGCACUGAUGGUCAUUAUAGAACUGGGAUCUCUGAUGACAACAGGGAUGAUAAGAUCCCCAAAGAAUAGGGAUCAGGUGGUUACAUUUUGCUGUCAGAAGUGAGGGGGCAUGAUGGUUAUAAUGAGUGCAAGAUCAGAAGGUCAGCUAAGGGAACAAGUCCGCACAGAGCUUUGGAGAUGCUUCAUAGACAUAGUGUUCCUAGGGCUCUGUGGAGGGCCAUCACAUGGAUGAGCACCGAUUAACUUAUACAAUAAAAAAAUAGAGGAUGGAUGAGGGCAGCUGCCAUAAUAAAAAUAUAUGAUUCCAAGCAGGGCAUGGUGGCUCACGUCUGUAAUCCCAGCAGUUUGGGUGGCUGAGGUGGGAGGACCGCUUGAGGCCAGCAGUUCAAGACCAGCCUGGUCAACAUAGCGAGACCCCAUCUCUACAAAAAAUUUAAAAAAAUUAGCCAGGUAUGGUGACACACACCUGUAGUCCUAGUUACUUAGGAGGCUGAGGCAGAGGAUCACUUGAGCCCAGAAAUUCGAGGCUGCAGUGAGCUAUGGUUGUACCACAGCACUUCAGCCUGGGUGACAAAGCAAGACUCUAUCUCUAAAAAAAUUGUAAAAAAUAAUUAAAAAGUUACAAUCCCUUGUUCUUUUUUUGGGGCCUGAGAUAUUUUUCAAGCCCAGAAUCCAAUGACCGAAGAAGAGGCUGGGUCCUCACUAGGAAAAGCCCGGCAGCCUCAGGGCUGUAAGUAGUAAUGUUUGCCCCAGGCUUUCCCCAUUGAUCCUUAUGGUUAUUUUCUCAGAUAACGACAUUGCUUAUCCUCAGAGCCAUGAUACACCCCUGUUAGAAUGGAGGCAUGUGGGGUUCAGACAGUAAAUGGAAUUCUGGCCCAUGUCUGGCUCACAUUGAUUCCACUGGGUCUACUGACCCGUCUGGUGGGCAUUGCCCCAGAACCUGAAUAUGCAAUUAAUGUAGAAUCAAUCUACGUUGAUUCCUUGGCCUUUGUGGUAAGAGCUAUUGCAAUUAAGAAGAAAAGGGGAGAGUCUUUGAAACUCCCCCAUCAGCAUCAAUUAUUGUCAUUUAAAAAAAUCAUCCAGAAUAAUAGCCAUACUGGCCAGUUUUUCCAGCACUGUCAUAAGGAGGGAAGGGAGCCUGGGAGAGCCACACACCCAAAGUCCUUUCAUAGCCCGCCAGGAAGGGGAGUGUUGCAACUUGGAAAUAAGCAGUUGAGAUACAGAUAGGAAAACAAGCCUCCCGUAGUGCACCUACAGAGACCCUCUCCAAGCUUCAGGGCCCCGGGCCACCUGCCGCCAGGCCAAGCUGCUGUGCUGUAAGCUCCUGGACCACAUUCUCUGGCUCAUGAUGUACAUGCUAUGUCAUCGGUGUGGAUUGUUGAACAACAUAGAGUUAGAUAUUGAACACCACGGAUUUUAAAACACAAGGGACUGGAUUAUGUAAGACAUAAACAAUAGGCUGGGCACGGUGACUCACGCCUGUAAUCCCAGCACUUUGGGAGACUGAGGCGGGUGGAUCAGUUGAGGUGAGGAGUUCGAGACCAGCCUAACCCAAUAUGGUGAAACCCCGUCUCUACUAAAAAUACAAAAAUAGCCGGGCGUGGUGGUGCACACCUGUAAUCCCAGCUACUCGGGAGGCUGAGGCAGAAGAAUCACUUGAACCUGGGAGGCGGAGCUUGCGGUGAGCUGAAAUUGUGCCAUUGCACUCCAGCCUGGGCAAUAAGAACAAAACUCUGUCUCAAAAAAAAAAACAACAAAAAAACAACAAAAAAAACAACUAUAUCUAUAUGUCUAUAUAUCUAUAUAUCUAUCUAUAUCUAUAUAUAUGUGUGUGUGUGUGUAUAUAUAUAUAUAUAUAUAUAUAUAUAUAUAUAUAUAUAUAUAUAAAUAGUUCAGAGAGAAUUAUGGCCCUGGAAUAGAUGAAGCCUUCAAAUGCAGGCCGAAGGUUCUGAGGCAUCCUCCAAGAUGCUCUGGGGCCAUCGUGCGAGCCAGGCUGGCAGGUUUGGAGACAGUCAGAGGAGAAAACCUCUUCCAUGUCAUCAGCUCCGAACUCCUAACGCCCCUGAGACCACCCUCCUUUACAGACAUUGUCAAAGCCAAUCACUGUAUGAGAGGAGGAAGGAAAGGGAAAGGAAAUUAGGGCAUGCUAAUAAAGGGACUGUGGGAGCUUGAGGAAAGAUUACGGGUUAAAGGUAAAUGUAAGAAAAAACAGGCCAGAUGAAGUGGCUCAUGCCUGUAAUCCCAGCACUUUGGGAGGCUGAGGCAGGUGGACUGCUUGAGCCCAGGAGUUCGAGACCAGCUUGAACAACAUGGUGAAAACCUGUUUCUACAAAAAAUACCAACAUUAGCCGGCUAUGGUGACGUACGCCUCCAGUUCCAGUGAUACAGAAGGGCUGGGCUCCUGGCUAAACCCCAGCCUUAAGCCUGGAACCGUGGCCCUAAGUGAAAACAGCUGAUCCCAUUUUUCUGCCCAAAUGUGGCUUUUUGGGCCUCCCCCGCCCCUAUCCUGUGCCCAUAAAAGACUUCAGCUGGCAGAACAACACAAGUGGCUGAGUGUCGCGGAUCCAAGCAGCUGAGUGUUGUGGAUCCAAGCAGCUGAGCGGUGAGCAGAGAAGCAACUGAGCACCAGAGACUACAGAUAGAUGUGGCCAACUUCAGACAGCGUGGCUUCAGAGAGGGGCCCAGCCAAAGACGGCAGAGCUUCAGGAAAAGAUCACCUUCGCAUGCCCUUUCCAGCCUCCCUUUCUGCCCAGAGCCACCCACUGCUCAAUAAAGUCUUCCGCAUUCAUCACCUUUCAAACACUUCAUGUGACCUGAUUCUUCCUGGACACCAGACAAGAACCCAGGUGCCAAGAGGGGAGGGGCUGCCACCCUGACCCUCCACUGAGCUGACUGGCACUUGGCUGUCCUCAGACGGCAGAGCUGAAAGGGCAAUUGGUUGUAACAUGCUUGGAUGCUGCUGCGGGGCCUGCACAGAGCCUGCUCCUGCCGGAGAGGAGCGACCAGCUGGCUCCAGAGUUCAUUCGCUCUAGUUCCUGCACUCACUCACUCACACGCCACCUCCCAGGAGCAGUGGCCAGUGGUGGGCUAAAUCUAAAAAAUAAAAUAAAUAACCUACUAAAUCUGAAAGGUAAUGAAAGAUAUAAGUUGAAAUGCUUUAGAUUUAAAGUGGAAGAAAUAAAAGGUAAAAGCUUUUAUUAGCUAAAUUAAAAGCUUGAAAAAUGAGGAGACAGAUUUUAGAUUGAGAUUAGAAAUAUAUGUAAUAGGCAAAAAGGAAUUGCAUUUUACUUUAUUUGAUAGGAAUAAAAAGGAAAGAAAGCUGAACGUGGUGGCUCAUGCCUGUAAUCCCAGCACCUUGUGAGGCUGAGGCAGGAGGAUUGCUUGAGCCCACUAGUUUGAGAUCCGCCUGGGCAAUACAGUGAGCCCCUGUUUCUACAAAAAAUUAAAAAUUAGCCAGGUAUGGUGGUGCACACCUGUAGUCCUAGCUACACGGGAGGCUGAGGUGAGAGGAUUGCUUGAGCCCUUGAGGUCAAGGCUGCAGUGAGCCAUGUUUGUGCCACUGCACUCCAGCCUGGGCAACAGAGUGAGACAGUGUCUCAAAAAGAAGGAGAAGGAGAAAGAAAGAGAAGGAGAAGGAGUGGAAGAGGAGGAGGAAGAGGGAAGAGGGAAAAAGGAAGAAGGAAGAAAGAGAAGAGAAAAGAAAACCAGGAAAGAUGGAGUAAGAGUGAUAAGACUAAAUGUAACUCUAAAGUUGAAUUUUUAAAAAAAUCUGAAGUCAUUCAACAUACAGGGCAAUGGGCAGUCCUCAGAACUAUGCAUGGAUGUGGAUUUCUCCAGAGUCAACAGUCCUAGCCCUGGGAGCUCAGCACUGGGUUCUUGGUUCUAUGACAUAGACAAGACUUCCAAUCCUCCAUUUGACUUGAACAAAGCCUCUCAUGGUCACGACCAAUUUCUAGAUCAGCUCCCUCUGCAGAGGUAUCUUAUCCACCCCAAAUCAACACUCAAGUCUCCUGAAGAGCAAUGAAAUGACAAAGAACAAAGCAUUUAGAUAAAAAGACUGGGAGCUCUCACUACUCAUUCGAGGAGGGCCACCCCCAAUCUGCAGGGACCCAGGGACAAAACAAGGUCCCUGUCUGCCAACAAGACAGUGGCAGAACCCGUGGAUGUGCAAACAUUUGAAAUCUUGCCUUGUUCUCUCCCAAAUGUUUCCCAAUGAAAACCUUCAAAUAAUUUCAAUAACAGGUUUAAAAAAUCUACACAGGCCAGGCAUGAUGGCUCACGCCUGUAAUCCCAGCACUUUGGGAGGCUGAGAUGGGCGAAUCAUGAGGUCAAGAGAUCGAGAUCAUCCUGGCCAAAAUGGUGAAAUCCCGUCUCUAUUAAAAAUACAAAAAUUAGCCAGGCAUGGUGGUGGGUGCCUGUAAUCCCAGCUACUUGGGAGGCUGAGGCAGGAGGAUUGCUUGAAUCCAGGGAGUGGAGGUUGCAGUGAGCCGAGAUUGCGCCACUGCACUCUAGCCUGGUGACAGAGCGAGACUCCAUCUCAAAAAAAAAAAAACAACUACAUAAUUUUUUUGAAAUAAUUUAUGUUUUUUUGAGACAGGGUCUCACUCUGUGUCACCCAGGCUGGAGUGCAGUGGCGCAAUCAUGGCUCACUGCAGCCUCAACCUCCUGGGCUCAGGUGAUCCUUCCACCUCAGCUUCCCGAGUAGCUGGAACCACAGGCAUAGGCCACCACACUUGGGUAAUAUAUAUAUAUAUAUAUAUAUAUAUAUAUAUAUAUAUAUAUAUAUAUAUUUUGGUAUUUUUUGUAGAGACGAGGUUUCACCAUGUUGUCCAGGUUGGUCUCAAACUCCUGGGCUCAAGCAAUCCUCGCACCUCAGCCUCCCAAAGUGCUGGGAUUACAGAAAUAAGCCACCACACCCAGCCUAUCUUGAAAUAGUUUUAAGUGUAUAGAAAAGUUGCAAGAACAGUACUGUUAAAUAAAAUUUAUGGGAGGCCAUAUGGUUUGGACUGAGCUCCUGUACUAGACCCAAUGACCAAACCAAAACAGAGUCCCAUAUGUUGAAGUGCCAUGUCCCCAAGCUGAAACUAAGUUGUUCAUCUGACCUUCUGAGAAAUCAGGAGUGAGAGAGAUAAUAGCCAAAUCCCCAGACACUUUAGUUGGCAUGACAAGGAAGCCUCCCUACUUUAAUCUUUACAAGGAAAGUAAGUUUGAAACAACCAAUCCACUUUUUGUUCUGUUUCUGCUUUCCUUAGCCCUUUUCUGUCUAUAAAGCCAACCUCCUCUGCUCUGCUAUAUUAGUCUGUUCUCACACUGCUAAUAAAGACAUACCUGAGACUUGGUAAUUUAUAAAGAAAAAGAGGUUUAAUGGACUCACAGUUCCACAUGGCUGAGGAGGCCUCACCAUCAUGGCGCAAAGUAAAGGAGGAACAAAAGCACAUCUUACAUGGUGGCAGGCAAGAGAGUGUGUGCAGGGGGAGCUGCCCUUUAUAAAACCAUCAGAUCUCAUGAGACUUAUUCACUAUCACGAGAACAGCAUGGGAAAACUCGCCCCCAUGAUUCAAUUACCUCCCACUGGGUCCCUCCCACAACACGUGGGAAUUAUGGGAGCUACAAUUCAAGAUAAGAUUUGGGUGGGGACACAGCCAAACCAUAUCAUCUGCUUAUUGGAGCACUCAUUCUAUUAUAUAGAAUGAGGAAUGAGGUGUAGCUGGAUUUUAGAAUCAUAUGUAAAAGCCAGUUAAGAUCUUUAAACUAAAUUUAUUGUAAUUUUGUCUUUCAACAGUACACAAAGAACUCUUGAAUCCCCUUUUAUCAUUUUCUGAACCAUUUGAGAGCAAGCUGCAAUCAUAAGAUCCAGCACCUCUAAACACUCCAGAAUAUAUUUUUAGAUAUAACCCUGUAAUGGCUGAAAAGUGUUCCCCCCAAAUUCACAUCCUCCUGAAACCUCAGAAUGUGACCUUAUUUUGAAAUAGGGUCAUUACAGAUGUAAUGAAGGAUCUCCAAUUGAAUCCGUCCAAGGAUUAAGGUGGGCCCUGAAUCCCAUAGACUGGUGUCCUCAUAAGAAAAGGUGAGGACAAAGAGAGACACAGAGACACACAGAUAGCUAUGUGAAGAUGGAAGCAGAGGUUGGGGAUCUGCUGCCACAAACAAAGGCACCCCAAGUAUUGCCAGCAACCACCAGAAGCAAGGAGAAAGGCAUGGGACGCUUUCUCCAUCAGAGUCUCCGGAAGGAACCAAGCUUACUGACACCUUGAUUUUGGACUUCUAGCCCCCAGAACUUCAAGAUAAUACAUUUCUGUUGUUUAAAGCCAUGUGGUUUGUGGUAAUUUGUUAUGACAGUGCUAGAAAACUUAUACAAACCCUCCAAGGCAGAAAUAAACAUGGGCACAACACUGCUACCCAAUCCACAGAUCCCAUUCAAAUUUUGCUGGCUCAGCCCAUCAUGUCUCUUUUCCCUUUCAGGUCCAGGAUCCAGUCCAGGAGCAUGCAUUACAUUUAGUUGUCACAUGUCCGAAUAGAAGGAAGGAGAUUCCCUUCAAUAUGGAAUAAUUUCUUAGUCUUUCCCUGUCUUCCACAUCCUUCCGUUUUUUGUUUUUGUUUUUAUUUUGAGACAGUCUCACUCUGUCACCCAGGCUGGAGUACAGUGGGGUGAUCAUGGCUCACUAUAGCCUUGACUUCUCCAGGCUCAGGUGAUCCUCCUACCUCAGCCUCCUGAGUAUCUGGGACUACAGGCGUGUGCCACCACACUCGGCUAAUUUUUGCUUUUUUUUGUAGAACAGAGUUUCAAGUUGCUCAGGCUGGUCUCAAACUCCUGGGCUCAAGUGAUCCACCCACCUUGGCCUCCCAAAGUGCUGGGAUUACAGGCACGACCCACUGCAACUGGCCCCACAUCCUUCAGUUUUUAAGAGUGCAGGCCUUUUGUUAUGUAGGAUGGCCCUAGACCUGGUUCCAUCUAAUAUUUCAUUUUGGUCAGACCUCGCCAUGAUUUCUUGACAGGAAAAUGAUGGACAGGAUCCUGGGCUCUGCACAUUACAGCAUAUGAUGUGGUCUUGUCUCAUCACUGGUGAUGUUAAUCUUGAUUGCUUGGUCAUGUUGGUGUCUUCCAUAUUUCUCCUCCAUUGAGUCACCAUUUUCACCUUUGCAAUUGAUAAGCAUUUUGUGGGGAGAUUUUCUAAAAUUAUGCUAAAAUCCUGAUCCUUAACAACUUCUACCCAUCAGCCUUAAUAUUUGUGGAUGAUCCCUAUCUGAAUAAAUUAUAACCAUAAUAGUGUCAUAUGGUGGUUUGCUAUUUUCAUCAUUCCUUCUACAUUAAUUACUUGGUAUUCUACUGUAAGAAAGAAGUUCCACUGCUUCCUCUAUUUAUUUACUUAUUUAUUCAUUUAUUUAGUAGUAUGAAUUUCAAUUUAACAGGUUAAAAACCAUGCUUGUUCUUUGUGAAAGUAUAUAACGUUAUUAUCUUUAUCAGAGAAGAAAUGGUUCUGAACUUCUCAAGAAAGUAUACAAGCAGUAUAAAAAUGAGAUAAUUACACUUACUUAACAUACCUUAUUUUCAUCCAAAUAAACACGAAAAGAAUCCAACAUGAUAUUUGAAAUUCUACCAUAGGGUAUUUUACUAGAAAAAUAGAAUCUUGUGUUUUUGGUAAUGUUUGUUCAUAUCACAAAAUUACUGAGAAGCGAAACAUUUCUAAAUUCACAUUAGAACAUUGUAAUUCACAUUUGUGUUAGAAUGAUGGUUACCAGAGUCUGGGAAGGGUAGUGGAGUAGUAGAAUGGGGGAUGGUUAUUGGAUAUGAAAAUAUAGUUAGUUAGAAUGAAUAAGAUCUAGUAUUUGAUAGCACAACAGGGUAACUACAGUCAACAAUAAUUUAUUGUACAUUUAAAAAUAACUAUAAGACUAUAAUUAGAUUGUAACACAAAGAAAGGAUAAAUGUUUGAAGUGAUAGAUACCCCAUUUAUCCUGAUGUGAUUAUUACACAUUGUAUGCUUGUAUCAAAAUAUCUCAUGUACGCCAUACAUAUAUAUGCCUACUGUGUACUCACAAAAAUUAAAAAUUGUAAAAAUAAAUAAACAAAACAAAACAAAAUUGUUUGAUAUUUCUUUUAUAAAUUCCCUUUCACAAAUCUUUUCAUGACUUACACAGAACAUCUAUGAAAAGCUUGGACUUUCUCACUUGUCCUAAGCAUCCCUCUUUUUAAACAAUCAGUUAUUUUUCUUUAGGAUGCAAAUUUACGACAAAAGAUCCUUUCUCAUAUAAAAUUUCUUUUCUUUAUAAUCUUCCUUAACAAAAAUACCUCUUUACCUUUAUAACCUUUGAAUUAGAGAAAAGUUAUUUUCCUUCUGUUAGGAAUUUAUGGUUUGUACUGCAUGUUGUUGUGUGUGUCCUGUGAAGGGGAAGCAAAUGAGGAGGUUAUCUACAUACUGUAGAAGUUGUUUCCCCUCAAGAGAUUGCUCGGUUAGAUUUUUGCUAGGGCUCAUCCAAAUAAGUGUGGGCUAUUUUUAAACCCCUGAAGUAGGAUGGUACAGGUUGAAGUUAUCGGUUAAAGAUUUAGGUAGCUUUUUGGGAGAAAUAGGGCUAUUAGAGAGGAAGGUGAAUUCAGAGGUUGGGUACAUAUUAAGCAGCCACCCAUUUUGGAAAGUAUAUUUUUGUCCUAAAGGGGUGUGAAUCUUUUCUUUUAGAGGGAGAGGGUGACAUUUGCCCUGUUACCUGAUAGGAUUUGGAGAAGAGUUGCUUAGAGAAGUAGAUUAGCAUAGACUAGGCAGCUCUUGAACCCAAAAGGGAAAUGUAUAAUUUUACUUGCUACCUCUACUGUUGCCCUUGGCUUUGUCUUGCUGAUGACAAUGUCUGACUUGGAAGCCAGCCAGAGCAGAGGUCUCCUUCAGCUCAAGGCCAUCAGGGAUUGGGAUCCAGUCCUUCGGCCGUCAGAGCAGUUCUUUUCCAGUGGCAGAGCUUGUGGCAAAGGGGCAAGCUGUGCCGGGCUUUUUCCCAUUUAUCUCAUUGGGGCAGUUUGCCUUCCAGUGGCCUGGCUUCCCACACCAAUGACAGUUACCUGAAGGACUGUCCUUAGGGUAACCUGAAGGGGGCUGGAGAGCUUGUAAAGCAGCCAGUUGUUGAGCCUGUCUCUUGUCCCUGCAUUUCCCUUUCUCCUUAGCCCUGUCCUCCUUAUUCUGCUUUUAGUUACAAAAGACUGAGGAGGCUGAUUUGAGGAUUUCCUAUAUAGGGGCACUAGGUUCUAAGGUUGACUUUUGUAAUUUUCUCUCAGUUCGUUUUUAGGCCAAACAGUAUUACAAAAGAAAACUAGUUUUUUGUUUUUAGGUUUGAGGAGGAUCAAAUUUUUCCCAGUUCUUGAGGAUACAACCAGGGGGCAUGUCCCAUGCUAUGAAGACAUGAUUACCCAUUUGUGAAGAGAGAACAGAGGAGGAAAAAAAAGGAAAAAGGAAAAAGAAGGCAUCCCCUGUUACUUCUCUAUCCUGAACAGGGCAUCCCCCAUUCGUCCUUAGGAUUCUGGAAUAAACCAGUCUUACCAUGUCCCCUUAACCUUCGUCCCAUCUCGUCACUAUUAUCCACUUAAGAACAGAGGAAAUAAGGGUGUGAACCAGGCACCCCCUGUCCAUCCUUGGGGUUCUGGAAUGAACUGGUCUUACUGUGCACCCCUAACCUUGCCUUCAUCUCUGUUCUAAUGGUAAUGUUAACCUGGAACAAGCCUUCAUCUCUGUCCUGUGGGUCUCUUGCACCUGCAGGCUUGAGCCAGCCUAGAUCCUUUUCUCCAUGACCUUAUAGUGACUCUUGCCCGGGGCAUUCUACAACAAAUUGAUUAUCUCUUUCCUCAAAUUUCCAUUUCCCAUGUUCUUUAAGUAGAUGAGAAGCCUGUUUUUCAGCUAACUGCCUCGAGGGAGCUGGACUUCCCUCCCUUUGAAUAUGACCUUGAAGAUCUUGAUGCAUAUUGAGAAGGGCGUGGAAGGAUUAGAGAAAUGGAGGCUACAGGAAGAAGUGGGAGGAAGCGAGAGGGAUGCUCAUGGAAAGGCUUUGCUUGCAAAAACAGCAGCCCUUAGAUUUGAGAAGGCAAUGUUUAUUUGCUCUUUUGACAUAGAAGAAGUUGUGGAGGACUUGGAGCUUGGUGGUAAGAACUUGCAAAUGGCAAAGGAAGAAUUUUUCCUCCUGCCAAAGGGAUGCUAACUAAAAAAAAGAAAAGAAAAAAAAGAAAACACAAGUAGGUGGGGUCCUUAAAGGGCCACAGAGUGAGGUCCUAUGCAGGUGCACAAACUGCUUCAAAAGCCACCAGAAAACUAGGCCCUGGGGCAUAACUGGAACAAGAAGUGUACGGUAAAGUCAUCGGGAGCGGUCAGACCUGGGGUUCCGAUCAGUGUCCAUCCCAGCAAUGUGCCAACAGACAGGGGAAAAGUUGGAGGUCAUCCAAGCUGGUGGGGUAAAAAAGUACAAAUCUCCACAAGGGACAUCCACAAGGGAGCCUGUGGCUUUGCUGCCGAGCGAAUGCAGCAAGAGCCGCGGAUGCAUGAAUAAGAGGGCGUGUGUCCAUGUGGGGCAGAGAAGGAAGUUAUGCAGUAUGCAAAGUGGAAACAGGGAAAAGGCAGACUUGCCCCGGAGGCAGAGAGUCUGGAGGGUGCGCAAGGCCAUUUCAAAACACACACAGAGAAAACACAACAGGCAGCACAGGCUUUUGGGAAAGAGCUGAUUUUAGUUGAAAAAGCAGAGGAAAUCCCAGACACUGCACGGUCCUAGGCUUUAGCCCUACCGCUCUCCCCAGCCUCCUGUGCAGGAGGGCCAUUAGCAUCUCAGGUCUACUUGGUGCAGACUCCAGGGUCCUCCUCCCCUCCACGAGCCACCUGUCAGGGUGAGCUGAGAGAUCAGCCGGGGGGAAGCAGAGCCACUGUGGCUGAGAGGAAUCAUUCUGGGGGUUGGUUAGUAAGCAGGAGAGCAAGAGGGCGAAGAAAACUGCAUUUAGGGGUUGAACACCUCCAGCCAAAGAAGGCAAGGCAUAGAGGCGUCUUACCACUAGGGAACAUAUCCAAGUCACAGCACCAAAGUAUGUCAGCAGCAGCAAAUCCGCAUGGGUCUGGAGCAACCUCAAUUCUUGCUUCCUUGAUUUCCUUAGAAGAAAGAAUUCAACUGAGGGACAUAAGGCAGAGAGAGAGAGCGCUCAAGGCAAGUUUUAGAGCAGGAGUAAACGUUAAUUAAAAUUAAAAAGUUUUAAAGCAGGAACAAAAGGAAAUAAAGUAUGCUUGGAAGAGGGCCAAGCAGGCAACUAGAGAGAUGUGAGUGCACAGUGUAACCUUUGACUUGGGUUUUUUAUGCUGGCAUGCUUCCGACGGGGGCUGCAUCCCUUCUCCCCUGAUUCUCCCCUUGGCGUGGGCUGUCUGCAUGCACAGUGGCCUGCCAGCACCUGGGAGGGCCGCGUGCACAGUGUUUACUGACGUUGUGUGCAUGCUCACUUGAGGAGCUCUUCCCUUACCAAUCGAGUGUUCCUAGAAGAAGGUCACAUACCAGUUAAACCCCACCACCUGCCUCUCAGUGCACAAGCUUGAGCUCACCCACUCAACUCCUGAGAUCUUACUGGGAAGCUGCUGGUCACCAGUUUCAGGUUUUUUCUGUCUCUUGGGAGACUGCCUUUCCCUGGUGAGCCGGCUGUGACCAGUUGUUAUCUUA
rnacentral:lncRNA from 1 species